rnacentral:rRNA from 1 species
UUGGACCUGAUAUCAGCA